rnacentral:antisense_RNA from 1 species
UGUGGGAGCUGGCUUGCCUGCGAUGGCAUCACCUCGGUCUGCUUGAAGGACCGAGUGGCCUGCAUCGCAGGCAAGCCAGCUCCCACA